rnacentral:tRNA from 1 species
UUUAUUUUGGUGUAUGGAGCACAUAAAUUUUUGAUAUUUAAAGACAAACGAAAUAAAU